UACGGAGGGGGCUAGCGUUGUUCGGAAUUACUGGGCGUAAAGCGCAUGUAGGCGGACCAGAAAGUUGGGGGUGAAAUCCCGGGGCUCAACCCCGGAACGGCCUUCAAAACUAUUGGUCUGGAGUUCGAGAGAGGUGAGUGGAAUUCCGAGUAUAGAGGUGAAAUUCGUAGAUAUUCGGAGGAACACCAGUGGCGAAGGCGGCUCACUGGCUCGAUACUGACGCUGAGAUGCGAAAGCGUGGGGAGCAAACAGG
rnacentral:rRNA from 1 species